CUGUCUGGUGUUUUUUCCAUUACUUGUAGAUUUUUGUUCUCUGUUGGUGUGGUUAGGUUUGUGGUUAGGUUUCCCAUGGGUUUUCUUCUUUUGAUUUUCUGUGCUGUUUGUCAUUUGUUUUCUCUGAGUGUUGUGUGAGUGGUUUCCAUUUGUUUUGUCAUGCUGUUUGUGUUGUAUUUGUUUUGUUCUGUUAGGGUUAGGGUUAGGGUUAGGGUUAGGGUUAGGGUUAGGGUUAGGGUUAGGGUUAGGGUUAGGGUUAGGGUUAGGGUUAGGGUUAGGGUUAGGGUUAGGGUUAGGGUUAGGGUUAGGGUUAGGGUUAGGGUUAGGGUUAGGGUUAGGGUUAGGGUUAGGGUUAGGGUUAGGGUUAGGGUUAGGGUUAGGGUUAGGGUUAGGGUUAGGGUUAGGGUUAGGGUUAGGGUUAGGGUUAGGGUUA
rnacentral:lncRNA from 7 species